AGUAAAAUUCACUCAACAACACAGCGGGAAAGAUAUUGGAUAAACUACACUGUAAGGAAGCUAAACACCUGCAUUUACAACAACGAAACAGGAGGUAAAACCAGGGACUGCAAAAAUGAAACUAAACAUGAGCAGGAAGCAUCAAAACAUAAAAGAGCAGGACACAAAGCCGCGGAAUCGCGCACCUACAGGGUGCAUAUACAUAAUCCCCCAACUUCGGACUGGGGGAAACAAGGCAAACAACCACUACAUCAGGGGUGUGGAGAGACAAUAAAAUCACGCAUCUCCAUCUCCAGCGGGGAGACAACAAAAUCGCACAUGUACAACUACAUCAGGGGUGCGGGGAGACAACAACUUCACGCAUCUAUAACUACAUCAGGGGCGUGGGGAGACAACAAAAUCAUGCAUCUCCAUCUCCAACGGGAAGACACCAAAUCAGGCAUCUACAACUACAGCAGGGCGCGGCGGGAGGGCGACAUGAACUCACCUAGAUCUGGAACCAGACGCAACCAAAAGCACAAGGGAGAGAGCGAAAGAGAGGAACAACGAACCGCGACACCGGGGAUUGAAGAGUAA
rnacentral:rRNA from 1 species